AAACCGUGGCAGUUUACUCCGGUUCUUAGCGGGACUAGGUGAGCGGCGGCCACCUCUAUAGGACUAUAUUGCCUCCAUCCUAUUAUCCGAGAGUAAGGAGCACACACGAAUGAGGUUGGAAGAACAAACCAUGAAGAGCAAGGAGGCUCGCUUAUUUGUACCCUAGCUCCGGCAUUCGUUCAGGAGAAGGUGCUGCCCAUUUCGUACAUCUGAACUGUAUUGUACCAAUCCCGUCUUCUUGAUUUCCAUGUCCUCGGCUGUUUGCCUUGACUCCUCGUCCC